CAAGCCUGAUGCAGCCAUGCCGCGUGUGUGAAGAGGGCCUUCGGGUUGUAAAGCACUUUCAGUCAGGAGGAAAGGUUAAUAGUUAAUACCUGCUAGCUGUGACGUUACUGACAGAAGAAGCACCGGCUAACUCCGUGCCAGCAGCCGCGGUAAUACGGAGGGUGCGAGCGUUAAUCGGAAUUACUGGGCGUAAAGCGUACGCAGGCGGUUUGUUAAGCGAGAUGUGAAAGCCCCGGGCUCAACCUGGGAACUGCAUUUCGAACUGGCAAACUAGAGUGUGAUAGAGGGUGGUAGAAUUUCAGGUGUAGCGGUGAAAUGCGUAGAGAUCUGAAGGAAUACCGAUGGCGAAGGCAGCCACCUGGGUCAACACUGACGCUCAUGUACGAAAGCGUGGGGAGCAAACGGGAUUAGAUACCCCGGUAGUCCACGCCGUAAACGAUGUCUACUAGAAGCUCGGAGCCUCGGUUCUGUUUUUCAAAGCUAACGCAUUAAGUAGACCGCCUGGGGAGUACGGCCGCMMGGUUAAAACUCAAAUGAAUUGACGGGGGCCCGCACAAGCGGUGGAGCAUGUGGUUUAAUUCUAUGCAACGCGAAGAACCU
rnacentral:rRNA from 1 species